GUGUUGGCUUGGCCAGCAUGUAUACUAGAAUUGGAACAAUGCAGAGAAGAUUAGCAUGUCCCUGUCCAAGGAUGACAAACAAACUCAUGAAGCAUCCCAUAUUUUU
rnacentral:snRNA from 1 species